rnacentral:rRNA from 1 species
AUCUCAGAUUAAGUAAGGAUACCCGCUGAAUUUAAGCAUAUAAUUAAGCGGAGGAAAAGAAACUAACCAGGAUUCCCCUAGUAAGGGCGACUGAAGCGGGAAGAGCUCACAGUGUGAAUCUGCACUCUAGUAGUGCCGAAUUGUGGUCUGUAGAAGUUUGUGUUUGGCCGGCCGGGUUAAGUCCCUUGGAAAAGGGCAGCAGAGAGGGUGAGACUCCCGUUCUUGCCUGGGUUUGGCCAUUUGACACUUACUUUCAACGAGUCGAGUUGUUUGGGAUUGCAGCUCCAAGUGGGUGGUAAAUUCCAUCUA